rnacentral:rRNA from 1 species
AACGCGAAGAACCUUACCUGGGCUCGAAAUGGAGUGGACCGGGGUAGAAAUAUCCCUUCCCCGCAAGGGGCCGCUUUAUAGGUGCUGCAUGGCUGUCGUCAGCUCGUGUCGUGAGAUGUUGGGUUAAGUCCCGCAACGAGCGCAACCCUUAUCCCCAGUUGCCAUCAUUUAGUUGGGCACUCUGGUGAAACCGCCUCGGAUAACGGGGAGGAAGGUGGGGAUGACGUCAAGUCCUCAUGGCCUUUAUGUCCAGGGCUACACACGUGCUACAAUGGCCGGUACAAACCGUCGCAAACCCGCGAGGGGGAGCUAAUCGGAAAAAGCCGGCCUCAGUUCGGAUUGCAGUCUGCAACUCGACUGCAUGAAGCUGGAAUCGCUAGUAAUCGCGGAUCAGAACGCCGCGGUGAAUACGUUCCCGGGCCUUGUACACACCGCUAGUC